CUGGAGACUGUGGAAAGAAAAAGGAUGCAUGUUCCAUGCUUGGAAUAAAUGGCAGAAGGACCUUCCUUGACGACAUCCAUGGCUCCAGACAGACAAACCAACAUCAAACCAAGUGCAGAUCUGACCAAAACCCCUUCCCUGAAGGACCCUCAUUUAAAUGCAUUUUCAUUGAUCGAACACAAUUUUAAGCACAUUUUGAACCACCUGUGAACAUUUUUUUGUAUGCAAAUUUGUGCAGGCCCAAUAAGAGAAGAGCUUAGGAGUAUGUUAGUUUCUAGUCCAAAAAUGUAUAUAUGCUGUUUACCUCUUGAUUUCUUUGCCACGGUGGGAUCACCACCUUGCUAUACUCAUCAGAGUAGUAAGGGAUUCUUCCUAACCCUUUCUUUGUUAGCUGUGUUUGAGCUAAAAGACCUGCUGAGCUGGUGACAAUAUAUAGAGAGGCCCUAAGUGCCCUUCACAAGUGUUCCCCAGUGCUUACCCCAAUGGAGCUACAGUACAGAAUCACAACUAGUGAUGUGACCUUGCUAUGAUGUACACAUGCCAUUCUGUGCCAUCUCAGCGUGGCUUACAGAUUCUUGUAGCCACCACCACAAACAAGAUACAGAGCUAUUUCAUUACACAAAGAUCUACUGGUGUCCAUAUUCUGUCAGUUUGAAAUACAUGUAGAAACAUUAUUUUCCUUUAAGACCUUGAACCUUUCCCACUUAUAAUUUUAUUAGAUUCUUCUUUGAUAGACAUUAGAUCCACAUGCAGAUAAUGCUAUGUGUUUUACUUCAGUUGUCAAACAUAAUUUGGAAAACUCGAGAAGGAAAAUCUAUUGUUCAAUCCAGGUCAUCUCUAUUUUUUUCUAUCUUCAACUUCAUUGAUUUUUUUUUAGUAGUUUUGUAUUCUUCAUUUUAAUAUUUCCAUUUUUGUUCUUCUUUUUAUCUUCUAAGAUUUUUUUUCCCGUUUUGGUUUCAAGUGUAUUUAUAAUUGCUUCUUUGAAGUAGUUUUAUGAUUCUUUCAAAUCCUUGUCGGAUAGUUCCAAUAUCUGAAUCACCUCAGUAUUGUCAUCUGCUGAUUGUCUUUUUCUAUUUAAGACAGUUCUCUGGAACAGGUGGAUGUUACUUUACUUGGGAAGAGACCAUUCAAUUUAGGAUCUCAGAGGGAGGUGUUGAUCCUGGAUUACCCAGGUGAUCUCUUCCAUAUAUACUCUCACCCUGUAAUGCCAUCUUCCACAAAGUCCUCACCAGAGAUGAGGUCUCACUGAGCUUAAACUGGUGAUUCUCUAGCCUCGGUUUCGUGAAUAGCUGGGAUUAUAGGAAUGCACCACCAUGCCUGCUCACAUGAUGUUGGCAUUCGGCUUGAGAGAGUCAGUUGUCAGUCUCCAUGCCCCGAAGACCUCUUUGACCAGUGGCAACUGAGCAACAUUGCAACAGGGAGUAGUUUCUAACAGUUUGAUCUGUACCAACUUUUGAAUUAGCCAAAUGUCCUAUUUUUCAUUGAAUAUGUAGCACUGCUUUUGUUCAGUAACCCAGUGGGGCCUGGCUGGUAGGCAGGAGUGGACAUGUCCUUUUGUUAUGGCUUGAAUUCUCAUCUGUGAGAACAUACUCCUUCAGGUGGCAGUGAUGCCGUGGGCCACAAGUGGUCAAAACACCAAUAGCCGUAAGUACUCUGUGGUGGGAACCACGGUCUCUGGAGCCCAAAGUGGCUCAUUGGGCCCUGCCCACAAGCAGAUAAGCACCACAGGUGGUUGUGUUUAUCUCUAAACUUCCUGAUUUCAUCAAUUUAAUUUUCCCCCAGAAAUAUUUUCAUAUGAGUUCCAGUACACAAGAGCCCCAGGAAAGUCUGAAUUGAGUCCCUUUCUUUCCCUUUUUAUCUUGAUGGAUAGAUUAGGGCGUUGACUUCUAGAGGGGACCUAGGACUUUGGCAUCAUUUCCAAUUGCACCAUUCAGCCUGAGACAUUUGAGUCAGUAGUGUCCCUUUAUCAAACAAACACACAGCCAGCCUGCACACCAGUUGGGAUGUAUGAGACUCUCUGGCUUCUUCCAUAUCCAUCCUUUAGAUAGGUUCCCACGGUGGAGGUCCACACUCCAUGCAUUGGUUUUUCUCAGGUGUCCCAGGGACUGUUUUGAGUCCUCUUUCUCCAUCUCUGUCAUGUGCCUCAGAGUCCAUAUGUUCCUGCCGUGUGAGCUUUCUAGUCUCAGAAUAAGCAGUCACAUAAGUACCCAACAAAUUGUGUGCCUCACUUCUCUGUUUCCACAUUCUGUUCUCCCUGCCUCAGUCCUUGCAGCCAACCCAUCCAUAUCUGUGGGGUUUGGGAUACAGGAGGUAACCUGUGUCCUACCUAUCACGAUUCUUUCCCCAUGCCUCAUCCAGCCGCAUGACCGGUCUGUGCUCCCAGACUAAAGUUUCCAUCCUGGGUUGGGUACGGGGAGGUACUUUCCCUUCCACUUCACUAGAAAGCCUUCAUACUCAUAGCACCAAUUUUGUGAAGCAGGCUCAUUAAUGACCAAUUCCAAGGGAGGGCUCCCACCGCGUGGAGGAUAGCUACCACUAGAGGUGUGUGUAGGAGACUGAACACUUCCAACCUCUGCAACCUGGGCUGCAGUGUUACUCAUGCCUGUGCCUGGCGAGACAGAACACACUCAUGUGCACUAAGCUAUGUGAACCAGGCUUAUUACUUAUAACAGGCAGCAAGGGACAAAAGAAGACUUUCCAUUGGGGCUGGUCCUCCAAGUUUCAAAAAAAGCUGCCUGAUGCGGAGGAAGUCUUGCCUGUGCAUGUCCUACUUGCACCACUGCUGGGGAACCUUGAAAGGCAGCCCUCCCCACCCCAGGAUUAUACACCUCAAAGGCAAUGUGACUCACUGGGCAAAGCUCUGAAGGACAUCCAGAGGGGAAAGAACAAAUCCUGGGCUGUCUGGGGAAGUUCCUCCCUAGCCCGAAAUGUUCCAUUCCCUAGGAAGGGCAGGAAUGAGGCCUGGUCUGCUUCAGGCCCUUCUUCCCUAUCCCAGGAUACUCCCUUCCUAGCACAUUCUAAUUAUUCUUGAGAACUCCAAAAAAAGAAGGGCGAUUCGGUUUGACCCAAGGAUACCUGGAGAACUGUCUUGUACUAACAUUCUAGAGGUGUCCUUAAGAGGUGGACGGUCAUUUCUGCUACCCUAAACCACACCCCAGUCUCCAACCUCUUCCUCCCCGGGAUGCAAACAGAAAGUGGUAUGGACAUGAAAAGAGAAAGAGCAUUUAUGAAGUCAUGUGUCCCCAGCCAAAGGAUCAAGGGCUGUGCCUUUUGUCCUUAAAGUGAGAGGUUUUCAAGAUAAUCACUCACAGAAAUUGGUGAACUGUCAAGAAGAGACUAACAUCUCAAUUUCCAGAUAUCUGCUAACAAGCUUGUGGAUUUGUUCUUUGUGAUCACUGGAGCAGGGAGAGAAGGCUGACAGGGAAAGAGCCAUCAUUCUGACCAUUUGAGUUAGCAAGCAUAUAGGAGUCAAACGAACAGUGUUGAAAUAAGUGUGAGUUUCCUGUGAAUCAGAUGAAGGUCCAGUUAACUCAACAGGACUUGAGCUAGCUUGGUGGUUUUUCUCCCAGGAGAACUGGCAACUAAGCCAGGGACCUAGCUAAACUGCCAAGGGCAGAAAUUGAGUGACUGUGGGAAACAGUUAAGCUUGAUAGUAUUUCCUAUCAGGAGUCUGUACACCGGAAAGACGUCCCAGGAAACUAACCCAUGUGCCCAUGAGAACUAGCAUUUGGGGAACUUACCAACAGAGGGUAGUCAUAAUCUCCAGUCAGCCUCCACCUGUGGGCAGAGACCAACAGAUGAUUGCAAUUACAUGCCCAAUUAGGCAAAAGAAUGUUUUUGCCCUCACUCUCAUUUUCUCUAGUUCUUCUUCUCAGGCUCAUCACAGCAAGUCAUUUAGAGAAAAAAAGAUUUCUAUUACAUGACACAAUAUGCCACUUCCCCAAACAAAGGAGUGAGGUUGAAAUUUUUAAAGUGUUCAACAUCAGACUGAACUUCUAAUAACUAAACAGAAAAUGACAGAGUCUCUCGGGACGGGAAGGGAAGACCUAAGAGUGUAAUGGAAGGCACCAGUUAAAAAACAACUCAAGAUUAUAGUCAGGAAAGUUCAGGAUAUUCCUUAUAUUGUUUGUAAAUAUCCCAAAAUACCUGGGAACAAGAGGCAGUCUGGUGUGCUAAAGAAAUCGAUAAUACUUGAAAAUGACUGGAACACAGAGGGAGGGAAGGAAGGCCAGGGAAAUAGGAAGAGGUCAGGAUUUUAUUCUCAGGCAAGGAGAAGUCUUGAAAUGUUUUAAUGAUCAAACAUCCAUCUUAUACUGAUCCAACGGGGGAUGUGGUGGGGCCUCGAGACAGGGAACUCAUUGAAGCAAAGUGAUCCGUAAAUAGCCAUAUGAUAAGAAACGUGGAAAAAUUAUAGGUUGUGGGAAACUGCAGACUGAUACUGGUUUGAGAGAAAAGCCAAAGCAUCUUCUCCUUCCAGUUGUUACUCCAAACACUGUUCAAUUUCCAAUUUCUGCUGAGAUUUUUGAUUCUCUGGAGCGCUGUGCUUAGGCAGGCAGACUGACCUAGAAACUGCUGCCCCACGGGGACACAGACGGCUGUGGGCCCAGCAGAACCACUUCCACAGACCCAUCUCAGCAGCAAGAGGACGCUCGCAGCAGCUCCAAACACCAGAGAUAGGCGGCCGCCCUUUCAAAGUGCGCAUGCGUCUUACAUCAACUUCGCUUGACAAGGUGAGGAAGUGCGCAUGUGUUAUACGCCGGAGGACCGCCCCGGCGAAAGUGGCGGCGUACGCAUGUGCAGCAGACCCAAGGCCCGCCCCGGAAGAGGAGGGGCGAGGCCGCUUUCUCAGUGGAGUCGGCCGGACUUCUACGUCCGCCUGGCAAACCUGCGUUGUGCUUGCGGAACGUAGGCCGCCACACAUCCGAUGUCACUCUAAACGUUGCACCGUCGGCGUCCCCGAGGGUCACAAGACUCGCGGGACCAGAAGCGCCGACUGGCCGAGGCCCUUGACUAAGUCCUGGGCUAGUGAACAGCGGAAGGGGUUGGGCCGCUUGGCCUGCGCGGGGAGCCCGUGGGCGUGGUGGUUCUGGGCGCCGCAACCGGGUUUGCAGACUGGGCUGUGAGGCCAGUCGGAGGUGUCUCGGGGAAGUUGCGUGCACAGAGCAGCGUGGCCUAGCAGCGCGGUUGUGGUUUUGUUUAGCUGUUUCUCUUUCCGGUCAGACUUGACCCUGGUCACGCCUUCAAGGAUGCUUAGUUCCUUAGUAACUUUGACCUCCCCUAUUAGAAGACUCCCUGUCGCUCAAGGACCCGCUUCAUUAACCCAGACUGGCUCUUGCUCGUCUUAAGUACCCUACCUCCCUCUUCCUCACACGCAGUCCGCAGUGUUUUCAUGCUUCUUUCCUUUUUUUUUUUUUUCCUGGCAGAGACCCUUUAAUACUAUGUCCUGACCCAGGAGUCACGUCAAGCACCCCAAGAAGAGGAUCCCAUUGUGAAUGCGUGUAGAUGCAGGCAGAUCUGACCCAUCCCCCUUCAGCAGCCGUGCACCUCACUUCUUUUUUUUCUUCUCUUUUGAGAGUUGUUUCUUUUCGGAUUCCACUUCUGUGUAGCCUCUUUUAAGUCUGGUAGGUGAUUUUUUGGUCCUGGAAACUACCAUUUUGUCUUUUGCUUCCACAGAUUAAUAAUACAACAAAGAGACCAACCCUGGGUUGGGAACCGAAAGAAACUGGAGAGAAAAAGUGAGGAAACUGCUGGAUUAGGUUUGCUAAAAGCGAGAUAAAUGGUGAAAGAGAGGGAAGAGAGCAAACAUUUUCUUCUUGUGCUUCAAAAAAAAAAAACUGUUAAGUGCUGACUGCAAGGCUGUGUGGGUUCUGUGCUGGGAAUGCCUUAGCCAGCAUCUACCUAGAGGCUGGGAGUCCUAUCCAGUAGGACUCAGGCAUCCAGGUUUUGUUGGCAUCACAUUUCCAUGGAUCUGAAUGGAUACUGGAACAUUACGAGAAGGUCAGUAAGUGCUUUACAGCAUGCAAACUGAAGGAAGUUCAGCAUUAGGAAGAAAAGUGAAGCACCUACUUAGGAAGAGUGAGCCAUUUAUUCCCCCAUGAUGUCAUUGCCUGAGAAGCAUUCCCCAGGGAAUUUCCUGUACACACAGGGAGUUUGGAAAGAGCGUCAGUUAGCAUACCAUCUUUUCUCAGCCUCAGAAGAAUGUAAGUAAAGGAGAAGUGCCAUAUGUAUGUCCAGUGGCAAAGCUGCUUUCAGUACAUCCAGCACCAGAGUCCUCAUGGACUAAAAAAUCUUGUAGUGAGUUUGAGAAAAGGUUUGGCAAAACUCUACACAGCAUUGGAGAAACCUAUAAAUACAAUGACAGGGACAGUUUUCAUUUGACUUUGAGAGCUGAUUGCUUAUCAGAGAACAGACAUUUUUUUUACCAUCUUUUAGGAAGAAGGGAACCUGACUGAAACAUGAGAGAAAAUAUCGAAGAAAGAAAGUGCUUCUUUAGGCUUUCUAGAAGGAUAACUGAGCAUGCCUUUCAGAUAUUGGUUAGUUUUCAAGAAAAGAAAAGAAAGUGCCGGGCUGGGGUUGUGGCUCAAGUGGUAGCACUCUCGCCUGGCGUACAUGCGGCCCGGGUUCGAUCCUCAGCACCACAUACAAACAAAGGUGUCCGCUGAAAACUAAAAAUAAAUAUUAAAAAAUUCUCUCUCUCUCACUCUCUCUUUAAAAAAAAAAAAAAAGAAAGACAGUGCCAGUUUAAACUAUGGGCUCUUGGGAUGGGGAUGUGGUUCAAGCGGUAGCACGCUCGCCUGGCAUGCGUGCGGCCCGGGUUCGAUCCUCAGCACCACGUACAAACAGAGA